CGAAAUAAAUAUAUACCAUGUUAAUAGUUUAUUAUUAAAUCCUGCUUUAAUGGAAGUGCAGUUCCUGCUAGUUCGCCGGUGGCGCUAUUGCGCACAGAGUCUGUGUAGACUGCAGCAGAGUUAGGGAGAACUGCUGUGGGUGAGUCGGGUUAUGUGUUAGCUCCACACUAAAAUAUAAAAAUAUCAUUUAAAUGAUUGAUUGGAUGCAGCUUUAAAAGUCUAGCACACUUUAUAUACAUUUAGUGAUCGAUAGAGUGCGUUUUCUUUUCAUAUUUGUUUGAUUUUGAUACUUUUAAUCUCAUCUUGAUGUUUUCCCCAUGUGCUUACAGCAAGUGCUAAUGAAGUAUAUGUGUUUUAGAUGUGGAUGCUAAAGUUAAACCGUGUUGAUCUCACUGUUACUGCUCUGUGUGCAGGGAAUCCAGCUUCCUCCUCAGGGACUUUUUCCUCUUCUGGCCAUCUGGAGAACAGCAGAAGACAAAUGAGAACACUGGAAAACAGCAGACAAUCACACCAGCCACACUCCUGGAGGACUCCGAAAACAUGGAUGGUGAUCUGGCAUCCCAGGUCGAAGUCUUUACUCAGUCUGGCGAGCGACACCUCCUGCAGCCGCACUCUCUCCAGCUCUGACAGACUCUGGAUGGACACCGACUGCAUCAGGAGAUUCUGAGCGGACGCUUUCCUACAGCUGAACUCUCCCUGCAGACAAAACAACAACAACAACAACACACAGUCAAAUAAAG